CCUACGGGGAGCAGCAGUGAGGAAUAUUGGUCAAUGGACGAGAGUCUGAACCAGCCAAGUAGCGUGAAGGAUGACUGCCCUAUGGGUUGUAAACUUCUUUUAUAUGGGAAUAAAAUGUUCCACGUGUGGGAUUUUGUAUGUACCAUAUGAAUAAGGAUCGGCUAACUCCGUGCCAGCAGCCGCGGUAAUACGGGGGAUCCGAGCGUUAUCCGGAUUUAUUGGGUUUAAAGGGAGCGUGGGUGGGUUGUUAAGUCAGUUGUGAAAGUUUGCGGCUCAACCGUAAAAUUGCAGUUGAAACUGGCAGUCUAGAGUACAGUAGAGGUGGGCGGAAGUCGUGGUGUAGAGGUGAAAUGCUUAGAUAUCACGAAGAACACCGAGUGCGAAGGCAGUUCACUGGACUGCAACUGACACUGAGGCUCGAAAGUGUGGGUAUCAAACAGGAUUAGAUACCCUUGUAGUC
rnacentral:rRNA from 1 species